rnacentral:misc_RNA from 1 species
AAGUUCAAAAGGAUAGUUAACAAGUUUUACACCUGACACUUGUGUGAUAGUAUUACCAGCUAUUGAUUGCUUCCUUAGCUGUAUUACAAUCACACAAAGUGUGUGUUAAAGUGAACCCCUUGUAAAUAUUGGAAGUCCAACUCAAGAGUCUCACGCCACGCUAACAGCCAAUCAUACAACUCUCUGCUCAGAUGACCCAAGCUUCUUUUGAAAUGUCUGUAAUCUCUACUUUUUCACCGGAAAAAAUUGCUUUAAAAAAGGAUCAGCAGCCGCAACUGCCUUUU